rnacentral:rRNA from 1 species
GACGAACGCUGGCGGCGUGCUUAACACAUGCAAGUCGAACGAUGAAGCCGGAGCUUGCUCUGGUGAAUUAGUGGCGAACGGGUGAGUAACACGUGAGUAACCUGCCCUUGACUCUGGGAUAACUGCUAGAAAUGGUAGCUAAUACCGGAUACGACCCUCGGAGGCAUCUUCAGGGGGUGGAAAGAAUUUCGGUCAAGGAUGGACUCGCGGCCUAUCAGCUAGUUGGUGAGGUAAUGGCUCACCAAGGCGACGACGGGUAGCCGGCCUGAGAGGGUGACCGGCCACACUGGGACUGCGACACGGCCCAGACUCCUACGGGAGGCAGCAGUGGGGAAUAUUGCACAAUAGGCGCAAGCCUGAUGCAGCAACGCCGCGUGAGGGAUGACGGCCUUCGGGUUGUAAACCUCUUUUAGCAGGGAAGAAGCGAAAGUGACGGUACCUGCAGAAAAAGAACCGGCUAACUACGUGCCAGCCGCCGCGGUAA